rnacentral:rRNA from 1 species
UACGGAGGGGGCAAGCGUUGUUCGGAAUCACUGGGCGUAAAGGGCGUGUAGGCGGUUGGGUAAGUGGAAUGUGAAAUGCCCCGGCUCACCCGGGGACCGGCAUUCCAAACUGCUCAGCUCGAGUAUGGGAGAGGAUGAGGGAAUUCCUGGUGUAGCGGUGAAAUGCGUAGAUAUCAGGAGGAACACCGGUGGCGAAAGCGCUCAUCUGGCCCAAUACUGACGCUGAGGCGCGAAAGCUAGGGGAGCAAACGGG